rnacentral:rRNA from 1 species
UACGGAGGGCGCAAGCGUUGUUCGGAAUCACUGGGCGUAAAGCGCGUGUAGGCGGCCGGGCAAGUCGGGUGUGAAAUCCCGAGGCUCAACCUCGGAACUGCACUCGAAACUGCUCGGCUCGAGUCCCGGAGAGGGUGGCGGAAUUCCCGGUGUAGGGGUGAAAUCCGUAGAUAUCGGGAGGAACACCAGUGGCGAAGGCGGCCACCUGGACGGUGACUGACGCUGAGACGCGAAAGCGUGGGGAGCAAACAGG